rnacentral:rRNA from 1 species
AACGAACGCUGGCGGCAUGCCUAACACAUGCAAGUCGAACGAGACCUUCGGGUCUAGUGGCGCACGGGUGCGUAACGCGUGGGAACCUGCCCUUAGGUUCGGAAUAACUCCCCGAAAGGGGUGCUAAUACCGGAUAAUGUCUUCGGACCAAAGAUUUAUCGCCUUUGGAUGGGCCCGCGUUGGAUUAGCUAGUUGGUAGGGUAAAAGCCUACCAAGGCGACGAUCCAUAGCUGGUCUGAGAGGAAGAUCAGCCACACUGGGACUGAGACACGGCCCAGACUCCUACGCGAGGCAGCAGUGGGGAAUAUUGGACAAUGGGCGAAAGCCUGAUCCAGCAAUGCCGCGUGAGUGAUGAAGGCCUUAGGGUUGUAAAGCUCUUUUACCCGGGAUGAUAAUGACAGUACCGGGAGAAUAAGCUCCGGCUAACUCCGUG